GGGGAGCUCCAGCCUGGAAAGCCCCAGGCUGCCGCCUAGCAUUGGGCUAACAGAAGUUUGCUAAGUGGCUUUACUGAGGACUUUGCAAUAAGGAAGCAUAUUGUCAUGCUUAAUGUUAUAUCAAGACGUGCCACUCGAUGGAGUACAUUUUGAAGAAAAUAUUGAAUAUAAAUACCGGUUUGGCUGAAAAGGGACGUUGCUCAGCAGCUUGUGACUGCAUGGCGAAGAUUGAUAUUGAACGGGGACAGCUUACAGAACGCCUUAUAGGACCUGUGGAUGAUGUGGAGGGGCGCGGAGGAGGGGAGCGCCCUGCAGCAAACUCCGCAGGGCAGCCCGCGUCCUUCCCUCCCUGCCAACCGGAGCAGCGCGGAGCUCUCCCGGCAGACGGCGCAGCAAUCGGGGCCGCGGGGUUUACAACUGAAAACUGCACCAUUUCCUCCAGUUUACCCCCACCUCUGUGUUCUGGUGUUAGUAGAAAUGGAUUGCAGUUGUGGAUGCUACUGCCAUCAGAUCAAACUACCAAAGUGCAAGUGAACCCAUGCCAGCACUUACCAUCCACACUCUGAGACCUGAGUGAAAAAUUAUUAAAAAGAGAAUCAGGAAUGAAGAGCUGCACAGGAGCAAUGAGAGCCUGGUCCUGCCCAUCUUCUCAGAGUAGCAGCACACGGGAGAAAGAACCAACA